GACGAACGCUGGCGGCGUGCCUAAUACAUGCAAGUCGAGCGUGGGAAGCAAACUGAAUCCUUCGGGAGGACGUUUGUGGAACGAGCGGCGGACGGGUGAGUAACACGUGGGCAACCUGCCUGUAAGACUGGGAUAACUCCGGGAAACCGGGGCUAAUACCGGAUGACACUUCGUACCGCAUGGUACGGAGUUGAAAGAUGGUUUACGCUAUCACUUACAGAUGGGCCCGCGGCGCAUUAGCUAGUUGGUGGGGUAAUGGCUCACCAAGGCGACGAUGCGUAGCCGACCUGAGAGGGUGAUCGGCCACACUGGGACUGAGACACGGCCCAGACUCCUACGGGAGGCAGCAGUAGGGAAUCUUCCGCAAUGGACGCAAGUCUGACGGAGCAACGCCGCGUGAGUGAGGAAGGUCUUCGGAUCGUAAAACUCUGUUGUUAGGGAAGAACACGUACGAGAGUCACUGCUCGUACC
rnacentral:rRNA from 1 species